UACAGAGGUGGCAAGCGUUGUUCGGAAUUACUGGGCGUAAAGCGUGCGUAGGCGGUCCGCGAAGUCUGAUGUGAAAGCCCCGGGCUCAACCUGGGAACUGCAUUGGAAACUAACGGGCUCGAGUGUGGCAGAGGGGGGUGGGAAUUCCACGUGUAGCAGUGAAAUGCGUAGAGAUGUGGAGGAACACCGAUGGCGAAGGCAGCCCCCUGGGCUAACACUGACGCUCAGGCACGAAAGCGUGGGGAGCAAACAGG
rnacentral:rRNA from 1 species